UACCCCUCCCUACCAAACGAGCCAAAAGGGCAUUUUAUUAGAAGUCAGGAGUUUGGAAUUUUCAUCACUUCAUCAUUUUGUACUGUCUGCCUAAGAUGUGCCCACUAUGAAGGACAAAGUAGGGCUAGAGAGAGUCCUCCAGUCUUCAGGAAAGGACAAGGCAGGUAAUUUAACCCAUCAGAAGGCAUGCUUGUG